AUAUCUUAAAGUAAAAUUACUUUCUUAAUAUCUUCAAUAUCAUGCUUUAAAAUAAGCUAUUAAAAUA
rnacentral:tRNA from 1 species